rnacentral:tmRNA from 1 species
GGGGCCGACUGGUUUUGACAGCGAGACCAAUGGCGAUGUAAGCAUGUCGAGCGCUGGAUUAUAGCUCGCAAAUCUCAUGGUUCACACUUUUAAUUGGCGAUAAUAAUUACGCUCUUGCCGCAUAAUCUGAAUUAUAGUAGGAUAAUGCCUCGUCUCCGCUAGGCGGAGAAGCGAGAUGUCCCUGGAUAGCCCUUGUUGACGGCGAUCCAUCUAGGGGCACCAAAAAAGUCAACACAAGGGUGGUAUGGCUCUGCUACCACCACUAAAACCUUUUAGAGAUAAGUGUACGAUAGGCGGACUUUGGUCGGUCGUACAUCGAAAACUGAACAAAGUCUAAACAUGUAGAAAGCAUAGUUAUUGCUUGUUUGGACGAGGGUUCGACUCCCUCCGGCUCCACUU